AUGCAAUCUUUUAGCGUCCGCCUCGACUCCUACGCUACUGGCCAAAUUGUUUCAUCUUCCUCAUUCACUGAAAAACGCCGCAAGUUAUCCCCGGUUCUCCGCGAGUCAUCCAACAGUUGCUUUGACGUCAUCUCCGCGAGGGUUCGGUUCAUAAAAUCAUUGUUGCCAAAUCGUUUCAUCAUCAAAAUCGGUUCUUUGAAAUCGAAGAAGUUGCAUGCCGACACUGCGAUUUAUAAAAUAGGUCUGGUAUAG